rnacentral:rRNA from 1 species
GUGUCAGCCGCCGCGGUAAGACGAAGGUCCCAAGCGUUGUUCGGAAUUACUGGGCGUAAAGGGUGCGUAGGCGGCGCGGAAAGUCAGAUGUGAAAGCCCCGGGCUCAACCCGGGAAUGGCAUCCGAUACUCCCGCGCUCGAGGACUGGAGAGGAGUCUGGAAUUCACGGUGUAGCAGUGAAAUGCGUAGAUAUCGUGAGGAACACUAGUGGCGAAGGCGAGACUCUGGACAGUUCCUGACGCUGAGGCACGAAGGCCAGGGGAGCGAAGGGGAUUAGAAACCCUGGUAGUCC